GAUGUCCCGGAGCAGGGCCGUGAGCCGCAGGCCCACCCCAGACCCCAGGGAGUCCCCAGGCAGCCCUGGUGGCGGGCCCUCCCCCCACACCCACGUUACAGGCGGUGGUAGCAGUGUGGCAAUUCUGGAACAGGUGUGCGAGUAUCCUGGGAAAGGGUGUAAAUAACACAGCAACGCUGUUUGGAACUGCAGUUUUCUCCAGGCACCUGCAAGGAGAACGCGAGGAAGAGCCCCAGGGUGUCGGACAGGAACUGGGCUGAUCAUUGUGACGUCAGACUGGACUGUUCCGGCUCGUCCAGGACUUCUGCCCCCGCCCUGGAACAGCCCUCUCUGCGGGAAGGAGGAUGGGGCGUAGAAACCAGGGUCCCAGUGUGACGUGCGCCUGUCACUGUGGAGGUGUCCUUGCUUCCAGACCCUCUCCCUAGACAGAGAAAGGAAAAAAUUUAUAAACAUAAAAGUGAACGUGUGUGUAUAUGUAUGUAUGUGUGUGUGU